rnacentral:rRNA from 1 species
GGUGCUUACACAUGCAAGUCGAACGAUGAAGCCCUUCGGGGUGGAUUAGUGGCGAACGGGUGAGUAACACGUGGGCAAUCUGCCCUUCACUCUGGGACAAGCCCUGGAAACGGGGUCUAAUACCGGAUAAUACCUGCCUGGGCAUCUGGGUGGGUUAAAAGCUCCGGCGGUGAAGGAUGAGCCCGCGGCCUAUCAGCUUGUUGGUGAGGUAGUGGCUCACCAAGGCGACGACGGGUAGCCGGCCUGAGAGGGCGACCGGCCACACUGGGACUGAGACACGGCCCAGACUCCUACGGGAGGCAGCAGUGGGGAAUAUUGCACAAUGGGCGAAAGCCUGAUGCAGCGACGCCGCGUGAGGGAUGACGGCCUUCGGGUUGUAAACCUCUUUCAGCAGGGAAGAAGCGAAAGUGACGGUACCUGCAGAAGAAGCGCCGGCUAACUACGUGCCAGCAGCCGCGGUAAUACGUAGGGCGCAAGCGUUGUCCGGAAUUAUUGGGCGUAAAGAGCUCGUAGGCGGCUUGUCACGUCGGUUGUGAAAGCCCGGGGCUUAACCCCGGGUCUGCAGUCGAUACGGGCAGGCUAGAGUGUGGUAGGGGAGAUCGGAAUUCCUGGUGUAGCGGUGAAAUGCGCAGAUAUCAGGAGGAACACCGGUGGCGAAGGCGGAUCUCUGGGCCAUUACUGACGCUGAGGAGCGAAAGCGUGGGGAGCGAACAGGAUUAGAUACCCUGGUAGUCCACGCCGUAAACGGUGGGAACUAGGUGUUGGCGACAUUCCACGUCGUCGGUGCCGCAGCUAACGCAUUAAGUUCCCCGCCUGGGGAGUACGGCCGCAAGGCUAAAACUCAAAGGAAUUGACGGGGGCCCGCACAAGCAGCGGAGCAUGUGGCUUAAUUCGACGCAACGCGAAGAACCUUACCAAGGCUUGACAUCGCCCGGAAAGCAUCAGAGAUGGUGCCCCCCUUGUGGUCGGGUGACAGGUGGUGCAUGGCUGUCGUCAGCUCGUGUCGUGAGAUGUUGGGUUAAGUCCCGCAACGAGCGCAACCCUUGUUCUGUGUUGCCAGCAUGCCCUUCGGGGUGAUGGGGACUCACAGGAGACUGCCGGGGUCAACUCGGAGGAAGGUGGGGACGACGUCAAGUCAUCAUGCCCCUUAUGUCUUGGGCUGCACACGUGCUACAAUGGCAGGUACAAUGAGCUGCGAUGCCGCGAGGCGGAGCGAAUCUCAAAAAGCCUGUCUCAGUUCGGAUUGGGGUCUGCAACUCGACCCCAUGAAGUCGGAGUUGCUAGUAAUCGCAGAUCAGCAUUGCUGCGGUGAAUACGUUCCCGGGCCUUGUACACACCGCCCGUCACGUCACGAAAGUCGGUAACACCCGAAGCCGGUGGCCCAACCCCCUUGUGGGGAGGGAGCUGUCGAAGGUGGGACUGGCGAUUGGGACGAAGUCGUAACAA